rnacentral:rRNA from 1 species
GGGCCUUUCCUGACGCUGAGGAGCGAAAGCGUGGGGAGCGAACAGGCUUAGAUACCCUGGUAGUCCACGCUGUAAACGGUGGGUACUAGGUGUGGGGUCCAUUCCACGGGUUCCGUGCCGUAGCUAACGCUUUAAGUACCCCGCCUGGGGAGUACGGCCGCAAGGCUAAAACUCAAAUGAAUUGACGGAAUCACUAGUGAAGUCGCAGCAUGGGACUGAGAUACGGCCCAGACUCCUACGGGAGGCAGCAGUGGGGAAUAUUGCACAAUGGGCGGAAGCCUGAUGCAGCAACGCCGCGUGCGGGAUGACGGCCUUCGGGUUGUAAACCGCUUUCGCCUGUGACGAAGCGUGAGUGACGGUAAUGGGUAAAGAAGCACCGGCUAACUACGUGCCAGCAGCCGCGGUGAUACGUAGGGUGCGAGCGUUGUCCGGAUUUAUUGGGCGUAAAGGGCUCGUAGGUGGUUGAUCGCGUC